UACAGAGGUGGCAAGCGUUGUUCGGAAUUACUGGGCGUAAAGGGCGCGUAGGCGGCCCGUCAAGUCCUGUGUGAAAUCCCUCGGCUCAACCGAGGAACUGCACAGGAUACUGUCGGGCUUGAGUUCGGGAGAGGGAAGUGGAAUUCCGGGUGUAGCGGUGAAAUGCGCAGAUAUCCGGAGGAACACCAGUGGCGAAGGCGGCUUCCUGGACCGACACUGACGCUGAGGCGCGAAAGCUAGGGGAGCAAACGGG
rnacentral:rRNA from 1 species